AGUGAACGCUGGCGGUAGGCCUAACACAUGCAAGUCGAACGGCAGCACAGUAAGAGCUUGCUCUUACGGGUGGCGAGUGGCGGACGGGUGAGGAAGACAUCGGAAUCUACUUUGUCGUGGGGGAUAACGUAGGGAAACUUACGCUAAUACCGCAUACCACCUACGUGUGAAAGCAGUGGAUCUUCUGACCUUGCUCGAAUGGAUUAGCCGAUGUCGGGUUAGCUAGUUGGCGGGGUAAAGGCCCACCAAGGCGACGAUCCGGAGCUGGUCAGAGAGGAUGAUCAGCCACACUGGAACGGGGACCCGGUCCAGCCCCCUACGGGAGGCGGCAGUGGGGAAUAUUGGACAAAGGGCGCAGGCCUGAUCCAGCCAGACCGCGUGGGUGAAGAAGGCCUUCGGGUUGUAAGGCCCUUUUUUUGGGAAAGAAAAGCAGCAGGUUAAUACCCCGCUGUUCUGACGGUACCCAAAGAAUAAGCACCGGCUAACUACGUG
rnacentral:rRNA from 1 species